AUUGAACGCUGGCGGCAUGCCUUACACAUGCAAGUCGAACGGUAACGCGGGGCAACCUGGCGACGAGUGGCGAACGGGUGAGUAAUGCAUCGGAACGUGCCCGGUAGUGGGGGAUAACUGCUCGAAAGAGCAGCUAAUACCGCAUACGACCUGAGGGGGAAAGGGGGGGAUCGCAAGACCUCUCGCUAUCGGAGCGGCCGAUGUCGGAUUAGCUAGUUGGUGGGGUAAAGGCCUACCAAGGCGACGAUCCGUAGCUGGUCUGAGAGGACGACCAGCCACACUGGGACUGAGACACGGCCCAGACUCCUACGGGAGGCAGCAGUGGGGAAUUUUGGACAAUGGACGCAAGUCUGAUCCAGCCAUGCCGCGUGCGGGAAGAAGGCCUUCGGGUUGUAAACCGCUUUUGUCAGGGAAGAAAUCUUCUGAGUUAAUACCUCGGGAGGAUGACGGUACCUGAAGAAUAAGCACCGGCUAAUUACGUGCCAGCCGCCGCCGUAAAAC
rnacentral:rRNA from 1 species